GUGGCAGCCGCCGCGGUGAUACGAAGGGUGCAAGCGUUAAUCGGAAUUACUGGGCGUAAAGCGCGCGUAGGUGGUUCAGUAAGUUGGAUGUGAAAUCCCCGGGCUCAACCUGGGAACUGCAUCCAAAACUGCUGAACUAGAGUACGGUAGAGGGUGAUGGAAUUUCCUGUGUAGCGGUGAAAUGCGUAGAUAUAGGAAGGAACACCAGUGGCGAAGGCGACCACCUGGACUGAUACUGACACCGGGGUGCGAAAGCGUGGGGAGCAAACAGGAUUAGAGACCCUGGUAGUCCACGCCGUAA
rnacentral:rRNA from 1 species